rnacentral:rRNA from 1 species
AACUAUAUGAUUUAUAUAUAUAGCUUUUUCUGCUCAAUGAUUUUUAAAUAGCUGCAGUACUCUGACUGUGCAAAGGUAGCAUAAUAAAUUGGCUUAUGAUUGAAGUCUAGUAUGAAUGAAUACAUGGGGAGUAACUUUAUUAAUAAUACUAUGAGAAUUUAUUUAAUACGUGCAAAUACGUAUAGUAAAAUAAUAGACGAGAAGACCCUAGAAAUUUUAAUAAUUAUUUAUAAAACAUUUUUGCUGGGGCGGCAUGGUUACAAUUAACUAACCUAAUAUUACUAAAAGUUAAUCAUAAUGGAAAAAUUACUCUAGGGAUAACAGCAUAAUUUUUAAGAGUUUGUGACCUCGAUGUUGGACUAGGAAGUUAAAGUUUAGAAGACAAAUAAAUGUGCUCUGUUCGAGCAGUUAAUCCU